rnacentral:lncRNA from 1 species
GUGUUAGGGAGCUACCAUUUGAUUUUUAUGGGGGGGCUAGGAUGAAAUUUGAAAAAAAAUAGGCAGGACAGGAGUUUUGAGUAAAAAAAAGGCAGGAUGAGACACUUGCAAAAAAAAAAAGUCAGGACGACAAUUUAGGUAAAAAAAGUCAGGAUAAACUAUAAAAAAAAAGGCAGGACCGAACAGAGUGAAAAAUAAAAAGGCAGGACAGAGAUUACAGCUAAAAAAAAAUGCAGGACAAAAUUUUUCAUCCUAGCCCCCCCAUAAAAAUCAAAUGGUAGCUCCCUUA